rnacentral:rRNA from 1 species
GGACCCGCACAAGUAGUGGAGCAUGUGGUUUAAUUCGAAGAUACGCGCAGAACCUUACCAACACUUGACAUGUUCGUCGCGACUCUAAGAGAUUAGAGUUUUCGGUUCGGCCGGACGAAACACAGGUGCUGCAUGGCUGUCGUCAGCUCGUGUCGUGAGAUGUUGGGUUAAGUCCCGCAACGAGCGAAACCCUCACUUUUAGUUGCCAUCAUUAAGUUGGGCACUCUGAAAGAACUGCCAGUGAUAAGCUGGAGGAAGGUGGGGAUGACGUCAAGUCCUCAUGGCCCUUACGUGUUGGGCUACACACGUGCUACAAUGGCAUCUACAACAGGAAGCAAAACGGCAACGUUAAGCAAAUCCCGAAAAGAUGCCUCAGUUCGGAUUGCACUCUGCAACUCGAGUGCAUGAAGCUGGAAUUACUAGUAA